AUGCACGCUGGCGGCGUGCCUAAUACAUGCAAGUCGAGCGAACGGACGAGAAGCUUGCUUUUCUGAUGUUAGCGGCGGACGGGUGAGUAACACGUGGAUAACCUACCUAUAAGACUGGGAUAACUUCGGGAAACCGGAGCUAAUACCGGAUAAUAUUUUGAACCGCAUGGUUCAAAAGUGAAAGACGGUCUUGCUGUCACUUAUAGAUGGAUCCGCUCUGCAUUAGCUAGUUGGUAAGGUAACGGCUUACCAAGGCAACGAUGCAUAGCCGACCUGAGAGGGUGAUCGGCCACACUGGAACUGAGACACGGUCCAGACUCCUACGGGAGGCAGCAGUAGGGAAUCUUCCGCAAUGGGCGAAAGCCUGACGGAGCAACGCCGCGUGAGUGAUGAAGGUCUUCGGAUCGUAAAACUCUGUUAUUAGGGAAGAACAUAUGUGUAAGUAACUGUGCACAUCUUGACGGUACCUAAUCAGAAAGCCACGGCUAACUACGUG
rnacentral:rRNA from 1 species